rnacentral:rRNA from 1 species
CGGUACAGAGAGAAGCUUGCUUCUUUGCUGACGAGCGGCGGACGGGUGAGUAAUACUUGGGAACUUGCCUCUAGGCGGGGGACAACCACUGGAAACGGUGGCUAAUACCGCAUAAUGUCUACGGACCAAAGUGGGGGACCUUCGGGCCUCACACCUAGAGAUGGGCCCAAGUGGGAUUAGCUAGUUGGUGAGGUAAAGGCUCACCAAGGCGACGAUCCCUAGCUGUUCUGAGAGGAUGAUCAGCCACACUGGGACUGAGACACGGCCCAGACUCCUACGGGAGGCAGCAGUGGGGAAUAUUGCACAAUGGGCGCAAGCCUGAUGCAGCCAUGCCGCGUGUGUGAAGAAGGCCUUCGGGUUGUAAAGCACUUUCAGUGGUGAGGAAGGUCAGUAAGUUAAUAGCUUGCUGAAUUGACGUUAGCCACAGAAGAAGCACCGGCUAACUCCGUGCCAGCAGCCGCGGUAAUACGGAGGGUGCAAGCGUUAAUCGGAAUUACUGGGCGUAAAGCGUACGUAGGCGGUGUGUUAAGCAAGAUGUGAAAGCCCCGGGCUCAACCUGGGAAUUGCAUUUUGAACUGGCACGCUAGAGUCCUGAAGAGGGUGGUAGAAUUUCCAGUGUAGCGGUGAAAUGCGUAGAUAUUGGAAGGAAUACCAGUGGCGAAGGCGGCCACCUGGUCAGAGACUGACGCUGAGGUACGAAAGCGUGGGGAGCAAACAGGAUUAGAUACCCCUGGUAGUCCACGCCGUACACGAUGUCAACUAGUUGUUCGUGUCACUAAGACGUGAGUAACGCAGCUAACGCACUAAGUUGACCGCCUGGGGAGUACGGCCGCAAGGUUAAAACUCAAAUGAAUUGACGGGGGCCCGCACAAGCGGUGGAGCAUGUGGUUUAAUUAGAUGCAACGCGAAGAACCUUACCAUCCCUUGACAUCCAGUGAACUUUCUAGAGAUAGAUUGGUGCCUUCGGGAACACUGAGACAGGUGCUGCAUGGCAGUCGUCAGCUCGUGUUGUGAGAUGUUGGGUUAAGUCCCGCAACGAGCGCAACCCUUAUCCUUAGUUGCCAGCACGUAAUGGUGGGAACUCUGGGGAGACUGCCGGUGAUAAACCGGAGGAAGGUGGGGAGGACGUCAAGUCAUCAUGGCCCUUACGGGAUGGGCUACACACGUGCUACAAUGGCGCGUACAAAGGGCAGCGAACUUGCGAAGGUAAGCGAAUCUCAUAAAGCGCGUCGUAGUCCGGAUUGGAGUAUGCAACUCGACUCCAUGAAGUGGGAAUCGCUGGUAAUCGUGGAUCAGAAUGCCACGGUGAAUACGUUCCCGGGCCUUGUACACACCGCCCGUCACACCAUGGGAGUGGGUUGCACCAGAA